rnacentral:rRNA from 1 species
CAGCUAGUUGGUGAGGUAACGGCUCACCAAGGCGACGAUCAGUAGCUGGUCUGAGAGGAUGAUCAGCCACAUUGGGACUGAGACACGGCCCAAACUCCUACGGGAGGCAGCAGUGGGGAAUAUUGGACAAUGGGCGCAAGCCUGAUCCAGCCAUGCCGCGUGAGUGAUGAAGGCCCUAGGGUUGUAAAGCUCUUUUGUGCGGGAAGAUAAUGACGGUACCGCAAGAAUAAGCCCCGGCUAACUUCGUGCCAGCAGCCGCGGUAAUACGAAGGGGGCUAGCGUUGCUCGGGAUCACUGGGCGUAAAGGGUGCGUAGGCGGGUCUUUAAGUCAGGGGUGAAAUCCUGGAGCUCAACUCCAGAACUGCCUUUGAUACUGAGGAUCUUGAGUUCGGGAGAGGUGAGUGGAACUGCGAGUGUAAGGUGAAAUUCGUAGAUAUUCGCAAGAACACCCGUGGCGAAGG